rnacentral:tRNA from 1 species
UCCCUCUUAGCUCAGUUGGUAGAGCGCGUCACUAGUAGCAUAAUUCAUUAACAAUGCAUGACGAGGUCAGUCGUUCAAGUCGGCUAGAGGGAA